rnacentral:rRNA from 1 species
AGAGUUUGAUCCUGGCUCAGAUUGAACGCUGGCGGCAUGCUUUACACAUGCAAGUCGGACGGCAGCACAGAGAAGCUUGCUUCUUGGGUGGCGAGUGGCGAACGGGUGAGUAAUAUAUCGGAACGUACCGAGUAAUGGGGGAUAACUAAUCGAAAGAUUAGCUAAUACCGCAUAUUCUCUGAGGAGGAAAGCAGGGGACCUUCGGGCCUUGCGUUAUUCGAGCGGCCGAUAUCUGAUUAGCUAGUUGGUGGGGUAAAGGCCUACCAAGGCGACGAUCAGUAGCGGGUUUGAGAGGAAGAUCCGCCACACUGGGACUGAGACACGGCCCAGACUCCUACGGGAGGCAGCAGUGGGGAAUUUUGGACAAUGGGCGCAAGCCUGAUCCAGCCAUGCCGCGUGUCUGAAGAAGGCCUUCGGGUUGUAAAGGACUUUUGUCAGGGAAGAAAAGGCUGUUGCUAAUACCGACAGCUGAUGACGGUACCUGAAGAAUAAGCACCGGCUAACUACGUGCCAGCAGCCGCGGUAAUACGUAGGGUGCGAGCGUUAAUCGGAAUUACUGGGCGUAAAGCGAGCGCAGACGGUUACUUAAGCAGGAUGUGAAAUCCCCGGGCUCAACCUGGGAACUGCGUUCUGAACUGGGUGACUAGAGUGUGUCAGAGGGAGGUAGAAUUCCACGUGUAGCAGUGAAAUGCGUAGAGAUGUGGAGGAAUACCGAUGGCGAAGGCAGCCUCCUGGGAUAACACUGACGUUCAUGCUCGAAAGCGUGGGUAGCAAACCAGGAUUAGAUACCCUGGUAGUCCACGCCCUAAACGAUGUCA